rnacentral:snRNA from 1 species
AUUGCUUCUCAGCCUUUUGGCUAAGAUCAAGUGUAGUAUCUGUUCUUAUCAGUUUAAUAUCUGAUACAUCCUCUAUCCGAGGACAGUAUAUUAAAUGGAUUUUUGGAACAGGAGAUGGAAUAGGAACUCGCUCCGUCCACUCCAUGCAUCGGCCUGGUAUUGCAGUACCUUCAGGAACGGGGCACCAAAA